UGUCUUCAAACAUAGUACUAUUCAUACUUUGUUCAAGUGAAUAAAAACUCAGAAAAAUUCAGCUGUAUUCCCUUUUUUCUAGGGUGAUUGGAUUAAACCAGGUGCUGUUGUUAUUGACUGUGGUAUAACAGCAAUACCAGAUGCAACCAAGAAAAGUGGUCAAAGACUGGUUGGUGAUGUAGACUACAAUGAAUGCAAGAAAGCAGCUGGAUGGAUAACACCUGUUCCAGGAGGCGUUGGUCCAAUGACAGUUGCUAUGUUGCUAGCAAAUACUGUUGAAAGUUGCAAAAGAUAUGCCGCUCAUUCAGCUCCACAAAAGGUAACAUAUGUUUAUCUCUAGGUUGAGCAUUGUAAUAAUCAACAAUAUAAUCUGAUGAGUUGACAAGACAUAAUUAGACUUGAUUUUGAAUAAACAUUUUCCAUGAUUUUAUAAAUUCUCAUGUCCUUCAAAUUAGGUUUUUAUUAGAAUGCUGGGAAGAGUAUCUUGAAAGAUAAACUACAGUUGAACAAACAUGACAAAACAACUUAUACGACCAGGAUAUAAUACUAGGCCACAUUAUGUAUUCAGCCUAAGAUUAGGGGAACUUGUUCACAGCAUGACUUAGCAAGUCUGAACUCAAAGUGUCAAUCAAUGAUACUACGAGUAAAAACACGCAAUUUUGAAAUUAUUCUUUUCCAAGUCCUUUAUUCAAAAUAUCAGCAGUGUGUUGUUCUGUAGGACAAAACUCAAGCAUGAUAUUGUUCUUUUCAAUUGCUUCUCUGAUAUAAUGAUACCUUAUAUAAAUGUGUUUUGUUUGUGCAUGGUUCUUUGUAUUAUUUGAGAGUGCUAUAGCUCCUUGAUUAUCUUCAUAGACUGUGCUUGGUUCUUGUUACACAAAACCAAUGCUUUCAAGCAGUCUCCUCAGCCAGGCUGCCUCUGGUGUAGCAGAGCAUAAAGCUAUGUACUCUGCCUCAGUUGAUGAUAAGCUAAUAACUGGUUGUUUCUUUGUUUUCUAUGAAAUAAUUCAACCACACAUUUUGAAUAAAUAGCCUGAUGUUGACUUUCUUGUUGACGAAUCACCACCCCAAUCAGCAUCAGAAUAGCCAAGUAGGCUUGAAUUCAUUUUACUGAAGGAUUCAGACCUGAGACCAUAGCUCACAGUUCCUUUUUUAUAGCGAAAUAUAUGCUUUAUUCCUUGCCAAUGCAUUUUGCUUGGGUGUGACAUAAAUUGUGAAAGAACUCCUACUGCUGCUGCUAUAUCUGGUCAAGUGACAGUUGCUGCAUACAUUUAACAGCCAGUUGCCAUUUGGUACCUUUGAACAUCAACUGGGGUCACAUUUUCAUGUAGUUUCACAAACCUCCUACCAGGCUCUAAUGGAGUUGAUACCAGCUUGCAGUUCUUCAUAUCAAACUUCUUCAAAAUACUUUCCAAAGAUUUUGAUUGUUUUAUCAUGAGUGUCUUGGCUGCUCUGUUUCUAUGAAUAUCCCCAGUAUGUAGUGUAAUUCUCCUUGGUCUACCAUAUCAAACUUUUGACUUAACAGCUUCUUUUCUGCAUUUAUCAUUGACAUUGCUGUUUGACACAACGAGAAGAUCAUCUACAUAAAGAGCAAUAAUGACAAAGUUUACUUUUCCAUCAGCUUUCUUCUCAGAUUUUAUAUAGAGAUGUGAAUCAGCAGUGCUUCAUUUGUAUCUAUUUCCUUUAGAAAUGAGUCAAUUGCAGUAUUCCAGCAGCAUGCUGCCUGCUUUAGACCAUAGAUUCCUUUAUUUAACCUGCAUAUAUGAUUUGGUUUAUCAGCAUUAACAUAACCCUCAGGCUGCUUCAUGUAGUUUUUUCUUGUCCAAAUUACCCUAAAAAUGCUGUUUUACAUCCAUUUGAUGUAUUUCUAAAUUGUUCUCGUUUGCCAAUGCAAGUAAUAAGUAUAUUGAAGAGUAUCGAAUGACAGGUGAAAAUACCUCUUGGUAAUCAAUUCCUUCAGCUUGUGAGUACCCUUAAGCUACUAAGCAAGACUUAAAGCGGUCAACAGAGCCAUCUGCAUUCCUCUUAACUUUGAAUACCCACUUGCUCCCAACAAUAUUCUUUCCUUUUGGAAUUGGAACUAAGCCCCAUGUUUUGUUUUUAAUUAAUGAUGAGUAUUCUGCAUCAGUUGCUUCUUUCCAUUCACUAGCAUGUUCUCCAGUCCAUGCAUCCUGGAUCUUUUUUGGGUCAUCAUUUUCGUCUGCUAGAAUAUCAGCACUGAAACAGUUUUUAUUUUCUUCAUUGACUUGCUCAGCCAGCUUAGCAGAAGAACGUUUUCUUGCACCUUGCAAGUUUGCAACUUCUAAAGUUCUCAUCAUAUGUUUCUCCCACUGGCAAGAUAUUGUGGUUGACUUCAUGAUUCACUUCUUCUAUAACAUUUCCAUCAACGUCUGAACUAAUUUCACCAUCAAACUCAAUACAUAUAUGAUCAGAUUUUGAUAAGACAGUUGUAUCAAAGUCAUGAAAGUCUCUCUCUGAGAAGAUAACAUCACGACUGCAAAUGAAAUGUUUAGCUUGAAGAUCAUAAAGGUUAUACCCCUUUGGGUAGCCAACGAAUAUAGCUUGUUUUGAUUUAGCAUCAAAUUUAUGACGAUAUUUAUCAGCAAUGUGCACAUUAGCUAUGCAACCAAAUACUUUGAGAUUUGACACAUUUGGCUUUACACCAUACCAGCAUUCAAAUGGUGUCUGCUUAUUAAGUGCAACUCUUGGGCUGCGGUUUCUCAAAAAUACACCUGUGCUAACUGCUUCUGCCCAAAAUGAAGUUGGUAGUUUAGCAUGAUGUAACAUAGAUUGGGUGCUCUCACAAUUGUCCUCUUCAUGCGCUCCACAACACCAUUUUGCUCUGGAUUCAUUGGAGUUGUUCUUUGAUGUAGUAUUCCUUUUUCUUUCAUGUAGUCUAUGAAUUCUUUUGAGCAAUAUUCACCACCAUUAUCGGUACCAAGUAUCUUGUCUUGAUUCUUUGAACUUUUCUAGAACUUCACUUUUGUGCCUAAGGAAAUAAACUUGUGUAUACCGAGACGCAUCAUUGAUAAAUUUUACGAAGUACUUUGACUUCCCAAUCGAUUUCGCGU